rnacentral:ncRNA from 1 species
CCGCUGCAAAACCCGGGGCGCGAGCCCGGGCGGAGCGGCCGUCGGUGCAGAUCUUGGUGGUAGUAGCAAAUAUUCAAAUGAGAACUUUGAAGGCCGAAGAGGAGAAAGGUUCCAUGUGAACGGCGUGUGCACAUGGGUAAGCCGAUCCUAAGGGACGGGGUAACCCCGGCAGAUAGCGCGAUCACGCGCAUCCCCCGAAAGGGAAUCGGGUUAAGAUUUCCCGAGCCGGGAUGUGGCGGUUG